rnacentral:lncRNA from 1 species
CCUAGAUGCCCUUCAGUAGAUGAAUGGAUAAAGAAAAUGUGGUAUGUAUACACAAUGGAAUAUUACUCAGCAAUAAAAGAGAAUAAAAUCAUGGCAUUUGCAGGUAAAUGGAUGGAGUUGGAUAAUAUAAUGCUAAGUGAAGUUAGCCAAUACCAAAAAACCAAAUGCUGAAUGUUUUCUCUGAUAUAAGGAGACUGAUUCACAGUGGGGUUUGGAAG